AUCAGUCCAACACAAACUACACCUCUUUGCACACCUUCUCUCCAGUGGACAACACGCAUACUCAGACCUUACUCUGAAGGAAAGCGACCGGUUACCCCCGUAGCGCAUGGGAUAGUCCACACCGAAAAAGGGAGGUACGAGGAAGAGAAGUGCUGUCGAUGCUCCCCGAUAGACGACACGAGGAACUAAGGGAAAGGAGUAAAGAAGGAUGUCACUCGGUUCCAGCCCAAAACAGACGCAGGGACUGCUGCGGCAGCUGCGGCAGCACAGAGGAAGAUGGCCUGAGAGGGGGAGAGCGGACCAGGACCACUGACACAAGAUGAGGCCGGGUGAAGGCGUACGGUCACUGCGGCAGACCGCCCGGCCGUCUGCGCCUGGAUGCUGGCUAGAGGAAGAUCCAGAACCGGAGAAUGAAGAUGGAGCAGCAGCUGCAGGAGAAUAGAGUGAUGGAGAUCGCGACCAACUAUCCCUCUGGUCUGCGGGGAACAUGUCAGUGGUUCGACUGAUGUCACAUUUCCUGUGAGAGCUUUCUCGUUUCUAUUUCUAAAAGCUGGGUUCAAGACAGCUGAGUGGAGAGUGGAGGACCCUUUUACAGUACAUAUCUAAUUGGCUAAGUUGAGGUGAGUUGUUGGUGGUAAAACACGGGCAAACAAACCAUUCUGUUGUCUGACAUUUCGCCACAAUGCGACAGUGUAGCGAGUCAGCAAUAGAACUCCGUUCCUCCUGACCAUCCCUGUUUGUUCACUGGCUAAACGUCACAGGAGAAGCGACCCGCGGGGCUUCACUGUGGAGCUUUGAUCAGGAACACAUGGCUGAACUUCCUCUGCUGCUGCUGCAACUGCCAGCUGCCGUCUGUUUGUUAGGCAUAGAGGGGAGGAAAAGAAGGGGCGCUGCAAGGAAAGCAGUGCUGACUAUAAUUCAGUGGAGAUAAAAUGAAGCAACUACAAAGAGCAAGAGUCAAACAGGCAGAAGGAAACACACUAGGAGAGGAAAUAGAGGAAGAGAGGAAAGAUGAGGAGGACAGUUGUAGAGGAAGGAGGGAGGACAGCCUCAGUUCCCAGGCUGCAGGGCCGCAGGCGCCAUGUUGGGACCGCCACACUGCCUCCUGCUUCAUGUCUGCCUCUUUCCAUUUCCUGCCUGUCUCUCUCUCUCUCCUAGCGUCACUUUUUACCACAGGGGCAAUUGGCCAACUAGUUUAUUGGUGGUUGGAGGAAGUGGAGGAGGUGGUUGUACCAGUGGUGUAUAUUACUGCAUAGUGUGGUUUUACAGCAGCCUUAUUGCCCCUUAUUGUCUACUGGUCCUCAACUAAAGACACCACAAAGCAGGUUUGUGCCUUCUUUGUCAUCCUUCCAGUCUCUCAUUCUCCUUUGAUGCUCAGUUUUGUCCUUGGAAUGCACCGACUGAUUCUCUGAGACUGAGCAGAUUUGACUUUUCUUUUCUUUUUCACAGGCAUCUCCAUCUACGAAACCAUCCCUCACAUCAUUCCUAAUUUAAAUUCUUCUAUUUAAUCCACACACCAGCUGGUCUCAGGCCAUCUCGGUUUCCUGACAAAGUUCAUCAUAUGUCAUCAUCUCGCUGCUUCAGAUCAUGGCAGAAAGACAUUUCUAAACUUUUUUUUUUUUUUAAUAGCCUAUUCAUUAAGUCGAGCAUAAACCUGGUGCUCAAGGGGUUUUACUUUUUGGAUAUGAUUCAGUCACCUGCACUUUAAUCAUUUAAUUAUAACCAAAGGAAGACAAUGCUGCAAGUCUUGAAACUGUCUGGAAAAAUCUUAAGUGAGUUUUUGUACUUAUAUUACAGUUAAACUGUAAUACUGUUCAGACGGCUCUGCAUUUGUCAGUCUUUUGGUAUAUAUAAAGCCCUAGUUGUCUUUAGGUGUUUCAAAGCUUGCCACACAUGUGAAUUAUAGGUGCAAAGUGUAAUCUGUAAAACAGUGUAGCCUUGCCAACUGUGGAGAAUAGUUUUAGGGGAUGAAGUGCAAAACAAAGGAAAGACAAUACAAAGAGUUUAUGCAAAGUUGUUCUGUAAAGUCAUAAAUAUUAGAAA